GAUGACUAGUGAGGGAGGGGGUGACUAGUGACAGAGGGAGGGAGAUGGUGACUAGUGACAGAGGGAGGGAGAUGGUGACUGUCACUAGUCACGCCAUCCCUCCCUCUGUCACUAGUUACUCCCUCCCUCACUCUGUCACC